GUCCUACCGCCUGCGACGUCACGAGAAGUCCACUGAACCUUAUCAUUUAGAGGAAGGAGAAGUCGUAACAAGGUUUCCGUAGGUGAACCUGCGGAAGGAUCAUUGUCGAGAACCGACCGAGAGACCGCGAACCCGUAAACGGAUGACACCGUGUCGGGCGGACAGUUUGCUCUGCCCGCCCUGCUCGGGACCCCGCAUCCUGUCCGCGAUCGCCCCCGGGCGGCCCCGGACACGCUCUGCGGGGGACGGACGAAACCCCGUGGUAAACACCGGCGCCUCGGCGGCGGCGCGGCGCCCGCUCUCUAUCUAUACGACUCUCGGCAACGGAUAUCUCGGCUCUCGCAUCGAUGAAGAACGUAGCGAAAUGCGAUACUUGGUGUGAAUUGCAGAAUCCCGUGAACCAUCGAGUCUUUGAACGCAAGUUGCGCCCGAGGCCUUUCGGUCGAGGGCACGCCUGCCUGGGCGUCACGCCUUGUUUCGCUCCGUUCCCAUGCCCCCUCGGGGGCGGCCACGGAUGCGGAGACUGGCCCUCCGUGCCUCGCGUGCGGCGGGCUUAAGCGCGGGCCGUCGGCGCCGGGAUGGGCACGACGAGUGGUGGACGGAGCACCAGCAGGAUGUCGUGGCCCCCCGUCGCCUUAAGGGGCUCAAGAGACCCGGACCAGGCGAGCCGUGCUCCGUACGAGGAGGGCGUGCCGCCUCCAGGUCAGGCGGUGAGUUUAGGACACCCGCAG
rnacentral:rRNA from 1 species